AUUACACGUUGUUGCAUUUUUUUAAAUUAACAUCGAGUACCCAUUUUCACCAGUCAUUGGGUUGGGUGCUUGACAGUACCCUUGUCAUUUCUAAAUGUUGGUCUUAAAAUGAAUCCUUUGUCCUCUGCCUACUGAUGACACUUUCGUUAACAUAAGAGUCUCUCUUUGGAUAAGAAAAUAACAAGAUGAUACCUCGACCUUUUCCUGUCCUAGCUGCUUGGCACGUCACUUCUCAUCUUUGCUACAAAAGGCAUUGUCACCCUCUUUGAAUCCAUUUCUCUCAGAGGCUCACUUUGUUCUCUGAAUUGAAGUGUUGACUAUAGCCCAGAGGGUCUCAACCUGGCCACAUUGGAAUCUCCAAGUACUGGGGCCCAUUUCAGAUCCAUUCCAUCAGAUGGUGUCCGAGAAGUCUUUUUUAAAGGGUUCCCUAAGAGAUUCUAACAUGUGACAGGAUUGAAAAACCACUGAUCAAGUCCAAACCACAGACCAGCCUCUGAGAGUGGCUAAAAUUCUGGGAGCAGCAAAUCCUGUCUCCCUGGCAUAGAGCAGGCCUAGGGUCCAACUGAUGUUCUAUUUAACAGGUAAUUGGGAAAUACUUAGAGAAAAGGCCUUGUCGAUUUGGAUUUUGGACAACUGAGCAGCUUUGCUGUUUCCUUCUGUGCAAGAAACUCUAAGCUAAUGCUACUCUUACUGUUUUCUGGCAUUCUUGUCCAAACAGAAUUUGCUAGUGCUCAAACGAAAUAAACAUGUUAAUGAUUUCAACAACAGUGAUGGACGCAGAAGCAUUCCAACAGUUCCUUAGUAACAGCUUAAUGUAAUAGUGUCAUCAUUUCUAAAGUUAGAGGUAAUUAUUGUCACCUUGGCACAAUCAUUGGAACGAGCUUCUUACAUGAAAACUGCUCUUUUUCUAGGGCUUCGACUGGUAACAAAAUAAUAAUUUAUGAAAGCAAAUUCUGCCCCAUUAUUCUGGGAGAAGUCCGUCAGCCACCCUGCAAUCGAAGAAUCUAAGAGCGACAAGUUCAUUUGCAAGUCUAAGAAGUUGAAAAGGUCCCCGUGGAAGAGGUAAAGUAUCCCAGCUCUUUCAGGUAUGGAUUCAUUAAUUCUUUUAAAAUGGAAGAUGAUGUAUCAAAUAUUUUAGUUAUGUCUAAUCCCUCCAUCAGAACUCAGCUUUGAUGAAUAGAGUACAGUAACCUGGCAGAUUAAUUCCUUUCCCUGCCCCCCAAGAAAGAUAACAAAGGUAAGGAGAAUAAAAACUGCUUACAGGAGACAAGUCAACCCUACUCUGAACAUUCUCCUCAAGUUUCCCACAUGUGGUCAACUGCAGCUGACAUUCAACCAAUGUGGUGGGUUUUUUUCUAGAAUAUAAGUUGUGGCAGUACAGGGCCUAAUGUAAAGAUCAAUUUGCACCUGUUUAUGCUCUUAAUGAUAUUUCAGAUUUUACUGGUUCUUUAUUUUCAGGAUUUUACUUGACGGUUUCUUGAAGAGUUGGAUCACUGGGUGUACACUUGGUGCUAAUGAACUGUCCCUCUUUGCCUGAAAAGCAUCUCUGUAGGAGUCUUUUUAUCUAAUAGCCUCUGCUGAAUACCUGGAGAAGUUGCUUAAACAUUCAACUCCAAUAAGCUGUGAGGACUUCAAUACAAGAGGACUGUGUGUGUGUGUGUGUGUGUGUGUGUGUGUGUGUGUAAACAUUUUUGAUAGCAUACCUUUUAAUCCUAGGGGUUUGCUAACAAAGGCUCAUUCUCUUUGGAGCAAAUAUCAGAGUUCUUAAACGUGAGUUUUGUUAUGGCUUAGAACUGCUUUUCCCUUGAGAACAUUUCUGAGGUAUCAUGGAAAGUGAAGAAACCUGUAACUGUGACUCUAAAUACAGCCUGUCGAGAAUGUGUUUGAUCUGUAUGGCAAAAGCCAAGUACUGUGGUCUGUGAACGAUAGGAAUUCAAUUUUUAAAUGAAUUCCCUUGCUGCCUGCAGGCCUGGUUCUAUUUCUUCUAGAAUCUAGGCUGAUGUUAGAACUGUUGUCGGUUCAAAGAGCUAAACCCCUCCAGAUGGAGUUAAUAGAAGCUCGUAAAUUCGGCUAGGAGGGCCUGAGCACAAUGCUCAUGGAAGGCCGAGAACAUCAAUCUGCCUUAAUUGUUGACAUUUGGAAUCCUGAUUGAGCGCCUCCACCCCCAUCUAUCUGCUUCCAGCUGACCAAAGGAGCUUUUCCCCACAGAUGGAGAAGUGGUGGAAAUGGCCACGCCUCGAUGUUUAAGUCCAGGUGAAAAGUAUCCCACCAGGCAGCUAGAUAAGAAGGGUGGGUGGAGCCUGAGAGCCUGCUGGAGGCUGCGGGCGUGAGUGCGGCACUGGUGCUGUCGGCUGUGGAGGUCCCGGGCCGCGUCUCCAGCGUCCCAGUGAAGGGUAAGCACUUCCUCAUGGUGGCUCAGUGACAGCACCAUAGCUGGAGAAGCUUAGGGACAACGCAGCCUGCCUCAUAAAUUCAGAGACUGUUACAGUCAAAGGAGACCUCAGAAACAAUUGCCUUCAACCCCUUCGUUUUACAAAAGCAGACGCUGAGGUCUGAGAAGUGAAGUGGUUUGGCCGAGGUCAGAAAGCAAGUUGGCAGUGGAGCGUACAACUCGGGGUCCUGGCCGGGCUCCCUACGUGACCUCCCCUCCAGACUCUCACUCCCUCUGGAGAAAGCCAGCUGCUAUGUCGUGAAGACACUUGGGGCAGCCUUGUGGAAAGACCCACAUAGUGAAGAACUGAGGUAUCCAGUCGACAGUGACAUCAGAGUGUGGAAGAGGAUCCUCCAGCCUCCAGUGACUGCAGCUCCAGCUGACAUCCUGACGGCCAACUUCAUAACAAGACCCCAAGUCAUAACCAUCCGGCUAAGUUGCUUCCUGACCUUCAGAAACUAUGUGAGAUAAUGUUUGUUUUUAAGUCACUAAGUUUUGGGGUAAUGUGUUACACUCUAAUAAUGAGUACAGCCAUGAACACCAUGAUUUCUUCUUGCUUAGGAAGGAAGUCCUGAAUCUAGAUGACCUCACCUCAUGUGCCCUUUUGGCAACUGGCUUUGUCACAAAAGCCUUAAAAAGCCUUAAAGGGAGGGUUUUGAUAGACCCUAGUUUCUCCACAGUGCCACACGCUAGCCAAAGGAGAGUGAAGCAAAGUGACUGCAUCCCAUGGACAUUUCCAUCAUGAAGGAUCCAGUGCUGGCCUGGAUAAAGAGGCUUGGCCCCAGGGUCCAUCCUGGUACCUCCAAACUCCUAUGAGACCAUUGGAAAGGUUCAUAAUUUUUCUAGACCUUUGUUUCUUUAUAACACUGCUAUAAUACUACCCUCUUAUGUGAUUAAAAUGGGUAGAGUAGACAUAAAAGGACUAUGUAAAAAGGAGUUGAACCUACCAUACAACUUCUAGACAGUAACAUCACCACCACCCUCCUCUUAGAGAUGGACUGUAAGGUUUUGGGUUUUAUAUCCUCGUUCUUGAUUCCAAACA